rnacentral:lncRNA from 1 species
UGGGGAACAUAUUAUAUACAUACAUGUAAUUGGAGUCUAAAGUCACAAAAAAACCACCACUUAAAAUAUAAAAAAUAUUUAAUAUUAUUUGAGUGCAACUCUGCGGCGAUGACGCGCUGGUGACGACAUAAACCAAGAUGGCGGCGGCCCGGACUACAGCCGACAUUAUGUAAUAAAGCCUUAAAAGACAUGGAUAUAAUGAAAAGAGUGGAUGGACAGAUGCAUAAACAUGCAGACUUUCACACGGACACACACGGACUUAUUAAACACACACAAACUUAUUAAACACACACGGACUUAUUAAACACACACGGACCUCAGUAAACACGGUAAACGGAACAGGCUUCACCGCUCGGCUGGCACUAGGACCCAGAGGCAGAAUCCAAUACUUGACCGGUUUGAAUAUGAUAUGAAAAAAAGACAACAGCAGCAGUGCUAAAAAGGAGAGAGAGAAAGGCUGCUUCACAAUUGCAGAACGCCUUAAUGCUCAAAAAAUCCCUCUUUAGGAGUACAUGGGGUGGCCCACCCACCCAGGACCUGACCCCAGCAGAGGCCCUCGAUGUACAUCUGGAGCUUUUGGAGCUACCUGAUGACGAUCCUGGGGAAAGCACAUCUGCAGCUGAGGAGUGA